AUGAGGCCUUCAGAUGACAGGAUGCAGCUCUCAGGUUUGACGCAGUCGGAAGAGUCAUCGCUUGACGUGGAGGGGCAUUGCUCUCACCACGAGGCAUUUCCUUGUUCUCCAUCGAUGCAACCAGUUGCUUCUGGGUGCGUGCACACAGAAAAUAGCGCGGCAUACUUCUUAUGGCCGACUUCAAACCUGCAGCAUUGUGCGGCGGAGGGACGGGCAAACUACUUUGGGAACCUCCAGAAAGGAUUGCUGCCGAUACUCCCUGGAAAGUUGCCCAAGGGUCAGCAAGCAAAUAGCUUGCUCGACUUGAUGACCAUAAGAGCUUUCCACAGCAAGAUAUUGAAGCGUUUCAGUCUCGGAACCGCAGUGGGCUUCCGCAUAACAAAAGGGGUUCUCACAGAAACCCCCGCCAUUCUUGUCUUCGUUGCUCGAAAGGUUCACAAGAAAUGGCUUAAUCCGAACCAAUGCCUUCCUGCGAUUCUUGCGGGUCCAGGAGGUGUUUGGUGUGAUGUCGAUGUCGUAGAAUUUUCAUACUAUGGUGCACCGGCUCAAACACCUAAAGAACAGAUGUUUAGUGAGCUUGUUAAUAAGCUGUGUGGCAGUGACGAAUAUAUUGGUUCAGGCUCUCAGGUUGCAAGCCAGGAUACGUUUGGAACUUUGGGUGCAAUUGUGAAACGACGCACCAACAACAAGCAAGUUGGUUUCCUCACGAACCGACAUGUUGCAGUUGAUUUGGACUAUCCUAACCAGAAGAUGUUUCACCCGUUGCCGCCGAAUCUUGGGCCUGGUGUUUAUCUUGGGGCUGUCGAGAGGGCAACAUCUUUCAUCACAGAUGAUGUUUGGUAUGGAAUUUAUGCUGGAACAAACCCAGAGACAUUUGUACGAGCUGACGGUGCAUUCAUCCCAUUUGCUGAUGACUUUGACAUUUCCACAGUCACAACUAUAGUUAGGGAAGUCGGUGAGAUUGGGGAUGUUAAGAUUAUAGAUCUGCAGUGUCCUAUCAAGAGCCUCAUCGGGAGGCAAGUUUGCAAAGUCGGCAGAAGCUCUGGUCACACAACUGGGACUGUGAUGGCAUAUGCCCUUGAGUACAAUGAUGAGAAAGGAAUAUGCUUCUUCACUGACCUCCUCGUCGUUGGUGAGAACCGCCAAACAUUUGAUUUGGAGGGUGACAGCGGAAGCCUUAUUAUCCUGACCAGCCAGGAUGGGGAGAAGCCACGUCCUAUUGGGAUAAUAUGGGGUGGCACAGCAAACCGUGGGAGGAUAAAGCUCACAAGUGAGUAUGGCCCUGAAAACUGGACCACAGGGGUUGAUCUUGGCCGCCUUCUUGAUCGUCUAGAACUUGAUCUUAUAAUAAACGACGAAUCGCUCAAAGAUGCUGUGCAGGAGCAAAGAAAAGCCUUUGUGGCUGCAAUUAACUCUGCUAUUGGGGAGUCCUCUGCGGUGACUGUUACUGCCCCAGAAGCCACCCCGGCAGAGAAGGUUGAAGAGAUCUUUGAGCCUCUUGGGAUCCAAAUUCAGCAGCUGCCUCGUCAUGACCUGGCAAGCGCCACAACCGAAGGGGAGGGCGCAGCCAACACACCCUCCGACAUGGAAGAGCGUCAGUUCAUCUCGAACUUCGUUGGCAUGUCUCCCGUGCGCCGUGACCACGAUGCUCGGAGGAGCAUCGCCAACCUGAACAACCCGUCAGAGGAAGAGCUCGCCAUGUCGCUGCACCUAGGCGACCGGGAGCCCAAGCGGCUCCGUCUGGACCCGGAGUCCAGCCUGGACCUUGAAAAACAGCCUCAUCCGGACCCGGAACCGAGCCUGGACCUGGAGGAGCGACCUCGUCCAGACCCAGAAAUGAUGAGCCUAGACCUGGAGAAGCAGCCUCGUCCGGACCCGGAACCGGGCCUGGACCUGGAGAAGCAGCCUCGCUCGGACCCGGAACCGGGCCUGGACCUGGAGAAGCGCCUUCCAGCCGACCCGGAGCCGAGCAUAGACCUGGAGAAAUGA
rnacentral:rRNA from 1 species